UAUAAUUCUAGAUUUUCUUCUUUAAUUGUUAAAGUUAUUAGUGAUAUUCUUGGUUUCCUUUCCGGUUUUCUCCAAAACAUGAAAGAUGACCCACUUUGUAAAUGUGGGUAUCCAUCUCAUUUGAAAAUUUUAUGGUCAAAUGACAAUUCGGGAAAAAGAUUUUUUGGUUGUAAGAACUAUAAGGUUAAAGGUCGUAAGGCUUGUAAUUGUUUUGAGUGGUAUGAACCGAAAUUUUUAAAACAAGCUAAUGUUGUUAUUUUGGGUUUGUUGAAGAAGAGAAAUAAGCAAGAGCAAGAGCUGAAGUGAGAAGAACAUUGAAGAUCAGAUUAUGUAUUAGUGUAGUAUGAAAUGUGAUAUUGUAUUUUGGUGUGUGUCCAAUUUAAUCUAAUUUUGAUUGGUAUCUAUGUAUUUGAUAAAUAGUAGAAUGAAUUGUAAUAUUUAGAGCAUAGGAUGGGAUGAGAUUAUCAUUCCUAAUUUUCAUGAUAAUCACAACACUACUGCCAAAUGCUUUCUUUCCUUA